CAAUGUUAACUUCUUUUAUUUAUUUUUUAAGUUCCCCAGAGUGACAAGGUGAAAUGAAACCUCUCAGGCAGAGCCUCCUCCUGUCCAGGCUCUCUUACAUCCUUAGUGGACUCUACCACCUUUCCUGAAAGUCAAAGACCUUUAGGUUUGGAUAGCUGGGAGGGGCUUGGUCCUCUGGACUGCCUCUCUAUCCUCUGGCCUAGGUGAGGGUCCCCAGAGAGUCCUUUAAAUGGAUCAGAAGCAGUUUCUAUGAACUUCUUGCCAGUCAGUCUAGUGCGUUUCUCUCCCUAGAGAUUUUACUUUCUUUGGUGAAAGCUCUCAACUCCCAUUUCUCUGAGGACCUUUUCUGGUUGGCGGGAAGGCUUGCCUUCAUGUAAACUGAGG
rnacentral:lncRNA from 1 species